GUGCCCAUAGCUCAGUAGUUAGGGCACCGGCCACCUAUGCCGGAGGUAGCAGGUUCAAACCUGGCCUGGGCCA
rnacentral:tRNA from 1 species